UACGGUGGGGGCAAGCGUUGUUCGGAAUUACUGGGCGUAAAGGUCGCGUAGGCGGCCUUCUAAGUCGGACGUGAAAUCCCUCGGCUUAACCGAGGAACUGCGUCCGAUACUGAAAGGCUUGAAUCCGGGAGAGGGAUGUGGAAUUCCAGGUGUAGCGGUGAAAUGCGUAGAUAUCUGGAGGAACACCGGUGGCGAAGGCGGCAUCCUGGACCGGUAUUGACGCUGAGGCGCGAAAGCUAGGGGAGCAAACGGG
rnacentral:rRNA from 1 species